UACGUAGGGGGCGAGCGUUGUCCGGAAUGAUUGGGCGUAAAGGGCGCGUAGGCGGCCUGUUAAGUCCGAAGUGAAAUUCCUGCUUUCAAGGUAGGAAGUGCUUUGGAAACUGGUUAGCUGGAGUGCAGGAGAGGUUAGCGGAAUUCCCGGUGUAGCGGUGAAAUGCGUAGAGAUCGGGAGGAACACCAGUGGUGAAGGCGGUUAACUGGACUGUAUCUGACGCUGAGGCGCGAAAGUGUGGGGAGCAAACAGGAUUAGAUACCCUGGUAGUCCACGCUGUAAACGAUGAAUGCUAGGUGUAGGGGGUAUCGACCCCUUCUGUGCCGGAGUCAACACAAUAAGCAUUCCGCCUGGGGAGUACGGUCGCAAGGUUGAAACUCAAAGGAAUUGACGGGGGCCCGCACAAGCAGCGGAGCAUGUGGUUUAAUUCGAAGCAACGCGAAGAACCUUACCAGGUCUUGACAUUCACUUAAUCUCACGGAGACAUGGGGUCCCUUCGGGGGAAGUGAGACAGGUGGUGCAUGGUUGUCGUCAGCUCGUGUCGUGAGAUGUUGGGUUAAGUCCCGCAACGAGCGCAACCCUUAUUUUCAGUUACUAACGCGUAAAGGCGAGGACUCUGAAGAGACUGCCGGGGUCAACUCGGAGGAAGGGGGGGUGGACGUCAAAUCGUCAUGCCCCUUAUGGCCUGGGCUCCCCCCGUGUUCCAAUGUCCGCUCCAAAGAGGAGCGAGCCCGUAAGGGGGAGCGGCUCUGAGAAAAGUGGUUCCAGUUCAGAUCGUGGGCUGCAAUCCGCCCCCGUGAAGUCGGAGUUGUUAGUAAUCGCGGUUCACCAUGCCGCGGUGAAUACGUUCCCGGGCCU
rnacentral:rRNA from 1 species